rnacentral:rRNA from 1 species
GACGAACGCUGGCGGCGUGCUUAACACAUGCAAGUCGAACGGAAAGGCCCUGCUUUUGUGGGGUGCUCGAGUGGCGAACGGGUGAGUAACACGUGAGUAACCUGCCCUUGACUUUGGGAUAACUUCAGGAAACUGGGGCUAAUACCGGAUAGGAGCUCCUGCUGCAUGGUGGGGGUUGGAAAGUUUCGGCGGUUGGGGAUGGACUCGCGGCUUAUCAGCUUGUUGGUGGGGUAGUGGCUUACCAAGGCUUUGACGGGUAGCCGGCCUGAGAGGGUGACCGGCGACAUGGGGACUGAGAGACGGCCCAGAGUCCUACGGGAGGCAGCAGUGGGGAAUAUUGCACAAUGGGCGGAAGCCUGAUGCAGCAACGCCGCGUGCGGGAUGACGGCCUUCGGGUUGUAAACCGCUUUCGCCUGUGACGAAGCGUGAGUGACGGUAAUGGGUAAAGAAGCACCGGCUAACUACGUG